GCCUUCGGAGCAUCUGAGCAUGAGAUUAAUGGUUAUAAGUCGGCCAGACUUAUCUCAAGAUAUAUCGGACCCUCUGCAGUAAUACUUGAAAGGAUAGAGAAGAAAAAAGGACUGACCCUGCUCUAAAGGAAAUGCCAAAGGACCUUUAUAUGUUCAAAUGGGUGUGGUGAGCUCAAGUUUGAAUUAGGCUGGAGUUUCUGUCAAAGAAAAUCUACUCAGCAGACAGGCAAAUGAGUGAGUGUAGCCACGCGAGAACCAGCCAGUGAGUAGCAGAGGAAGAGGCAUUAUUCUGCACUCAACACUCAAUUCUGACGAAGCCAUAACUGAGUGAUGAAGAAAAUGGUAGGGGUCGCCAGAGGCAGGAAGCACGUGCUUGCGUCUCCACAGCGGCGCCUCAGCGUGUGGUUCUCUUCUGGCUGUGUUCCAGAGGUCCAGUCCCCAGACACGUAGGCAGUGUAGACAGAAGAAGAAUUCUCUGGGAGCCAGAAAAGCCAGCAGGACACCUGGGAACUUAGCCACCACUGACAUGUAUGGCAUUCUUGCCAUAACAACUGGUUAAAGGUAAUAAACCCCCUCUUAUUUAAAUGGCAA